UUCCAUUGAAUUUCAAACAGAAAUUAUCAGGAUAAAUUAUGCAAUGGUGGUGAUUAAUCAGGAAAUAAACUAUAUAGUGGCUCGUUGCUGCAUAUAAUAAACGCUUAUAAUUCUUUAGGGAUCAAUGAGCAUAUCUAAGAAUAAAUGUGCAUAUUUCAUUAAGUUUACUGCAUCUAAUACCAUCUUUAGGAAUCAGUGUGCAUAUUUCAUUUACCGCAUAUAAUACCAUUGUUUUCGGCGUUAUUAGCAGGUAUGAAAAAACAGUUUCUUAAAAAUGCGUUUAAUUACUUAUUUAUUUGAUACAAAAAAAUAUAAAGGUAUCUUACAACAAA